CUUGGUGAAAUCCAACAAUUCAAUCAAGAUGAGAUAUACUAUCAUAGAAAGCAGAUUUAACAUCAGACAUAGAAUUGUAUCAUGUGACAAGUUUGACAAUACUGUGUUACAAGAGAGACCUAUGAGAUAUUUAUAUCUUAACACUAAAUAACUUUUGGUGAUAAUUAGUUUUUUAGAGUUGCAUUCAAACCAUUACAUCAAUUGCAAUCUAAAUUUACACCUCAAACACAAUUUGAUCAAUGAGUAGGGUCAAUAAGGACAUCAAAACACAUGAUAAUUCCAAGAAAAGAAAGAAGGAACUUUCUAACCAUGACAGGGGACCAUUAUGUUUUUUACCUAUUGUUACCUAGACAGGGAUAUUUACAAGGAGAAUAAUCAAUUCCAGACUUAACAACAGUUCCAACAAGAGUCAUCAGAAGAUGACAAAUCCCGCCGGCCCCACAUAUUUGAAAGAACAAAUCAUCUGGCAGUUACUUAAAGUCCAACUUGAAUUUUUUUAGACUACAUCCAAAUCCCUUCCAUGGAAAUCA